AUCCAGCUGACGAGUUUCAAAUAUAACGAAACGCGCGUCCUGGAU
rfam:Schistosoma curassoni strain Dakar, Senegal genome assembly, scaffold: SCTD_scaffold0003631